rnacentral:rRNA from 1 species
UACGUAGGUGGCAAGCGUUUUCCGGAUUUACUGGGCGUAAAGAGCGCGCAGGCGGCCGAGUAAGUCGAAUGUGAAAGCCCCCGGCUCAACUGGGGAACGUCAUUCGAUACUGUUCGGCUCGAAGAUAGGAGAGGGAAGCGGAAUUUCAGGUGUAGUGGUGAAAUGCGUAGAUAUCUGAAGGAACACCAGUGGCGAAGGCGGCUUUCUGGCCUAUUCUUGACGCUGAGGCGCGAAAGCUAGGGGAGCGAACGGG